rnacentral:rRNA from 1 species
GGACCCGCACAAGCGGUGGAGCAUGUGGUUUAAUUCGAUGCAACGCGAAAAACCUUACCUACUCUUGACAUACUUGGAGGCUCUUGUAAUGAGAGUGUGCCUUUUGGAACCAAGAUACAGGUGCUGCAUGGCUGUCGUCAGCUCGUGUCGUGAGAUGUUCCGUUAAGUCGGAUAACGAGCGCAACCCUUACCCUUAUUUGCCAGCGAUUCGGUCGGGAACUAUAAGGGGACUGCCGGUGAUAAACCGGAGGAAGGUGAGGACGACGUCAAGUCAUCAUGGCCCUUACGAGUAGGGCUACACACGUGCUACAAUGGAGAAUACAGACGGACGCUAAGCCGCGAGGUGGUGCUAAUCCUAGAAAGUUCUUCGUAGUCCGGAUUGGAGUCUGCAACUCGACUCCAUG